rnacentral:sRNA from 1 species
GAAACGAACAUUCUAGAAGUGGAAAUUCGCGAGAAUACUCUCGGUUUUGAUUGUAUUAUGAAUACAGUAUUCCAGUGUUCUUUCCUGUGUUAAAACGUUCGGCAUUGGCGUGGCUUUGGUGCUCAUUUGCACAUCCAUCGUUUUUAAUUUUAUUAAAAAAAGGAGGACAAAAGAGAAGAUAUUCCAGUGUUCUUUCCUGUGUUAAAACGUGCGGCAAUGGUGUGGCUUUGGUGCUCAUUUGCACUUCCAUCGUUUUAUUAAAAAAAUAGUUUAUCCUUUUAUUAAAAAAAGAGGACAAAAGAGGAAGGAUGUAUUCAUUGAUAAGAACCACCAACCAACAUUUGUUGGUGGUUGAAUCGAAAAGCAUUUCUGGAAAUGGAACCAGAAGUGUUAUAUUCCAAAAAGGGGGAAAAAGGCACGUUGGACUUGUUGUAUGCAAAUCUAAUAAUUACAAUUUUAUAAAUGAAAGAAAACAUCAGGAAGAAAAGGGCCACUUACAAAAAACAAAGCCGCUAAGCACUAAAUCAAUCAAUGAGGGAGGUCGCCCAUCUAACGAGGAAGAAAGUCGUCUAAACAAAGACGAAAGCACAAUUUCCAAAAUUACACCUGACAUUGAAACUAAAAUCGAAAAAUUAUACACAUCAAAAGAGGAUAAUGGUCGACCAAACAAUGAAAGAGAAAGCCAUUCAACUAAGAAAGAAAAUUUUCCAACCAAACACGUCCCAACAAAUAACAUAAAAGCACCGCAAACUCAAGUUAAGUGCAGUAAGUAAAUAUACAUACAUAUAUAAAAUUAAAGUAGUAUUCAUAGUAAAUGCAUAACAUAGAUGUCAAUUUUUUUUCAAAUAUUUUUACUCAUAGACGUACUCUAAAGUAAAACAACAAAACAUUUUCCAAUACGACUUAUUUUUAUCCGAACCUUUUUUGAGAACUCGAAACCAAGGUACAAGGCGUAUUAAAUUAGUCUUUCCAAGGCGUAUUUAAGAAGGCGGGCACAUCAGCACAGCUCAUGGAACGUCAAUUAAAUUUCAAAAAUUCAAAAUUUAAUUUUUUGUGUUUUAUGAUUGUUCUAUUAAUUGAAUAAUUUUAAUAGUUCCUCAGUACAAAACCAGACAUUAAAAUGAAGAAGAUUAGAAGCCAACAUGCAUGACAAUACGGCGGUUAGGCGGUCUGGAGAAGUUUCCUCCAAUCUGCCAUUUAAAGCACCUACCCCUACAAUUUCAGGGCAGUGACACUAUGGGUGCUAAACCUUCUAUGACCCCUCGUCAUCCCCACAAAUCAAGCCUAAAUCUGCCAUAUGUCCAGCGCGACGUCAAAGUCUUGACAUUGCAAUGGCUUCUCAGGACUCAGUAGGGAGAGUGGCAGAUCCACAAUAUCUAGGAGAGGUCCCCUAAACACUAAGUUAGGACAUAUUGGUGGAUAGCACUAACUUCAUCUAUCAUGUACUACUAACGGCCAUACACCAAUUCGCCGAUGCUCCCCCUUAUUAAAUACGCCUUGCUCGUGACAUCUCAAAUUUUCGAGAAAUUUGCUUUGACCAAUCAGAAAAAGUUUUAUUUAUUUUUGAAUGUAAAAGGAGGAAAUAAUAAAUUUGAAAAAUGCACACAAUUCUCAUUAGCUCUAACACUGGAGUUACAUACCAUGCACAGAAUGCGUACUUACGCAAUCUAAUGCGCCCAUAUGCGUUUUCAAGGUUGAAUCACGUACCAUGCGGCUUUGGCUGCACACGAUCAUCCAAAAAUCAGCUUUUUUUAUGUCAUUUCCAAAGAUA